rnacentral:rRNA from 1 species
GCAAAACGCGAAGAACCUUACCAGGUCUUGACAUCCCGUUGACCACUGUAGAGAUAUAGUUUCCCCUUCGGGCGAACGUGACAGGUGGUGCAUGGUUGUCGUCAGCUCGUGUCGUGAGAUGUUGGGUUAAGUCCCGCAACGAGCGCAACCCUUGAUCUUAGUUGCCAUCAUUUAGUUGGGCACUCUAAGGUGACUGCCGGUGACAAACCGGAGGAAGGUGGGGAUGACGUCAAAUCAUCAUGCCCCUUAUGACCUGGGCUACACACGUGCUACAAUGGACGAUACAAACGGUUGCCAACUCGCGAGAGGGAGCUAAUCCGAUAAAGUCGUUCUCAGUUCGGAUUGUAGGCUGCAACUCGCCUACAUGAAGCCGGAAUCGCUAGUAAUCGCGGAUCAGCAUGCCGCGGUGAAUACGUUCCCGGGUCUUGUACACACCG